rnacentral:rRNA from 1 species
GGGACCCCAGGUCAGGCGGGACUACCCGCUGAAUUUAAGCAU